UACGGAGGGGGCGAGCGUUAUUCGGAAUUAUUGGGCGUAAAGGGUAGGUAGGUGGUCUUAUUUGUCUGGGGUGAAAGCCUUGAGCUUAACUCAAGAAGUGCCCCAGAAACGGUAAGACUGGAGUCCUGGAGAGGGUCGUGGAAUUCCCGGUGUAGCGGUGAAAUGCGUAGAGAUCGGGAGGAACACCAGAGGCGAAGGCGGCGACCUGGACAGGCACUGACACUCAACUACGAAAGCGUGGGGAGCAAACAGG
rnacentral:rRNA from 1 species